rnacentral:rRNA from 1 species
GAGGAAUAUUGGUCAAUGGACGAGAGUCUGAACCAGCCAAGUAGCGUGAAGGAUGACUGCCCUAUGGGUUGUAAACUUCUUUUAUACGGGAAUAAAGUGAGGCACGUGUGCCUUUUUGUAUGUACCGUAUGAAUAAGGAUCGGCUAACUCCGUGCCAGCAGCCGCGGUAAUACGGAGGAUCCGAGCGUUAUCCGGAUUUAUUGGGUUUAAAGGGAGCGUAGGCGGACGCUUAAGUCAGUUGUGAAAGUUUGCGGCUCAACCGUAAAAUUGCAGUUGAUACUGGGUGUCUUGAGUGCAGUAGAGGCAGGCGGAAUUCGUGGUGUAGCGGUGAAAUGCUUAGAUAUCACGAAGAACUCCGAUUGCGAAGGCAGCUUGCUGGACUGUAACUGACGCUGAUGCUCGAAAGUGUGGGUAUCAAACAGGAUUAGAUACCCUGGUAGUCCACACAGUAAACGAUGAAUACUCGCUGUUUGCGAUAUACAGUAAGCGGCCAAGCGAAAGCGUUAAGUAUUCCACCUGGGGAGUACGCCGGCAACGGUGAAACUCAAAGGAAUUGACGGGGGCCCGCACAAGCGGAGGAACAUGUGGUUUAAUUCGAUGAUACGCGAGGAACCUUACCCGGGCUUGAAUUGCAACUGAAUGAUGUGGAGACAUGUCAGCCGCAAGGCAGUUGUGAAGGUGCUGCAUGGUUGUCGUCAGCUCGUGCCGUGAGGUGUCGGCUUAAGUGCCAUAACGAGCGCAACCCUUAUCGAUAGUUACCAUCAGGUUAUGCUGGGGACUCUGUCGAGACUGCCGUCGUAAGAUGUGAGGAAGGUGGGGAUGACGUCAAAUCAGCACGGCCCUUACGUCCGGGGCUACACACGUGUUACAAUGGGGGGUACAGAAGGCAGCUACACGGCGACGUGAUGCUAAUCCCGAAAGCCUCUCUCAGUUCGGAUUGGAGUCUGCAACCCGACUCCAUGAAGCUGGAUUCGCUAGUAAUCGCGCAUCAGCCACGGCGCGGUGAAUACGUUCCCG